rnacentral:misc_RNA from 1 species
GUGAAUCAUCAAAUUUUUGAACGCAAAUCGCGCUUCCUGGUAUCCCGGGAAGUAUGCCUGUUUGAGGGUUAGUAUUAACAAAAAAUCGGUUUGGUUGCAAAUUGUGACGUUUACGGAGUUUGGGUGAUCUUAACUUUUUUGGUUAAGGGGCUUAUAAUUGACCUUUUUUGCGCAUUUUUAGACGUACAUAAAUUUUUUUUUAUUCGACUAUUUUUAAUGCUUAAAUCUUAUUAGAUGCGAUCUCAUCGUGUG